rnacentral:rRNA from 1 species
UGGGGAAUAUUGGACAAUGGGCGCAAGCCUGAUCCAGCAAUGCCGCGUGAAGGAUGAAAUCCCUCGGGAUGUAAACUUCGCAAGAACGGGGAGAAUAAGCCGGUGUGAACAUCACCGGCGAUGACGGUACCGUUUGUAAGCUCCGGCUAACUCCGUGCCAGCAGCCGCGGUAAUACGGGGGGAGCAAGCGUUGUUCGGAUUUACUGGGCGUAAAGGGCGCGUAGGCGGCCACCGCAAGUCAAUUGUGAAAUCUCCGGGCUUAACUCGGAAAGGUCAACUGAUACUGCGGGGCUAGAGUGCGGAAGGGGCAACUGGAAUUCUCGGUGUAGCGGUGAAAUGCGUAGAUAUCGAGAGGAACACCUGCGGCGAAGGCGGGUUGCGUGGGCCGACACUGACGCUGAGGCGCGAAAGCUAGGGGAGCGAACGGGAUUAGAUACCCCGGUAGUCCUAGCCUUAAACGAUGAAUGCUUGGUGUCUGGGGUUACAAGUCCCCGGGUGCCGUCGCUAACG